ensembl:lncRNA
GGCGCGGAUCCGGGGCCAAACCCUCCAGGGCUGCGCUGCAGACAGCGACGGCCAGAGGCGGAUACAGUCGGGUUUAGGGACCGCAGGAGCGAAUUCCCGGAGGCCUGCAGGAGCCGCCCCGCGCCGCGUCCAGCCUUUCUCUCUGGGCCUAGCGGGUCUCCCCCAGGCGCGCCCCUCCCUCCCCACAGGCGCACUUUCUCCACCUGCAUCUGGGGCGAGGCGCGGCUGGGAGCGAAGCACAAGUGGGCUGGGCGAGGUUUGGGGUUCGAGGAUUGCAGAGUGACCGCGGGGUCUGGGGAAGAGUUGUCUUGGUGGCGCCACCAGAGCCCGACCCGCCGCGGCCGGGACCCUGCAGGGCAGGUAGCGACCUGCGGAGAAGCCGCCUGGCGCGGCCGACUCGGCUGCCGGGGCGUGGGCCUGGGCCGGGCGCAGGAGCAGCGGGGAUGCUGGGUGCGCUCCGAGGGUGCGGCCUCCCGGCUGUGCGGGGCUCAGAGCCGGGUGCUGGGCGCGGGGCCUGGCAAAGAAAUCGUUCGACACAGCCGGAAUCCCAGGAAAAUCUACCUUUCUGGAGACUGCAGCUCCUGUGAUAGCUCAACAGACUUCAGUUCCUCACAAAUAUUGCUCUCUACGGUUUCCCCCAAAACACUUCAGGAAAUACAGUGUCCUGUCUUCACAAAUGCUUCUGGCACCUGCUCUUGUUGUUACCUGGAAUCCUGGUUACGUCUGGAACUGCAUUGAACACAGUGCUCUCCAUCUUUACCAGCCCCGCCGAUGUGUCCCCAGCACUGUGCGAACUCGCUCCACCCCUCCUGGAACUCCUCAGGUAAUGGGCAUGGAGGUCUUCCCUUACCUUCAGUUGCUCCUUAUCUCGCGUGUUUUCUCUUUAUUUAUGGUCUCGUAACUGGACCUACGAGCAGGUCUUAAGGGGAAAACACGAAACGUACCACUUUUUAAUCAUAAUUUGCCAUCACUUUCUACAUGCACCUCACUCAUAAUUACCCCGAGCAAAUUAAUCGUUUCUAAUCAAAUUCUUGCAGGUGGGCACUUGCACACAUAAUAUUUCAGGAUUGCUUGAAUGAAUAUGAGGCAUGAAAGAGAAGUUAAGGAAGUUACAUCCACGUAAUUAUUUCUACUGUAUGGUUAGAUCUAAUUACUUUAGAAUAAUUAUGCUAGACCAGUGGACUCUAACUGGGGACGUUUUGUCCUCAAGGGAACAGGGAGAAAUGUCUGAAAACAUUUUUGGUUGUCACCCUGGGGCAUGACUGGUAUGUCAUGAGCAGAGGCCAGGAGAGAGACUAAGCAUCUUACAAUGCAUAAGACAGCUUCCCUUACCAAAAAUAAUUAUCUGGUCUAAAAUGUGACUAGUGCCCACAUUGGGAAACACUGUCCUAGAAGAAAGAGUUUGAGGCUUUUGUAAUUAAUGAAAUGAACCAAGUAGGAGCUGUAACCAACCAAAUAAUUUUCAUUGGCUAGAGGCAGAGUGUUUCAUUUCUUCCGGAGAAGAGCUUUCCACUUAAGGAUGUAUUUUAUACAUUUCAUGUUUACAAGAGCCAGAAAAUCCUUUCUAUUGAAUUUCUACCCAGCUGAAAAGUAUUAGAGGGACCCCAGCAUUACAAGAAUUUGAAUUUAAUUCAGUCUGCCGUUCCACUUGGUGCUAAUCAUAAUUCCCUCAAUAAAUUCUCAAGCUUUCUGGGGCUGCAGGCACCAUUUAAAUUUGUCUUUGUAACCCAGUGUCUUUGCACUUAGACGAUGUUCAGGACAUGUACUUUGAACUGCAGUUUCUUUUUUUUUUUUUUUUGAGAUGGAGUUUCACUCUCAUUACCCAGGCUGGAGUGCAAUGGCGUGAUCUCGGCUCACCGUAACCUCCGCCUCCUGGGUUCAGGCAAUUCUCCUGCCUCAGCCUCCUGAGUACUGGGAUUACAGGCAGGCGCCACCAUGCCCAGCCAAUUUUUUGUAUUUCUAGUAGAGACGGGGUUUCAUUUUUUAAAUAUCUCACUUGUGUUUUCUCUUCUGAACAUAAGGCAUAAGUAUGUAUGUUUGUGUGAAUGUUUCUAGGGUGUGUGUGUGUGUGUGUGUGUGUGUGUGUGUGUGUAUGUGUAUACAUUUUCUUUCAGAUGGCCAUUUAAUUUAUUUCUUUGCUCUAGUGGCGUUUAAAUAAUCCUUGAUAAUUACUAGUGCUUCUAAGGUGCUAUAUGCUCUGGUUUUCCUGGACAAAGUCGGUGACCCUUGUCACUUGUGGUACCAUAAGAAAAAGGUCAUCUUCCCUCUUUUUAUCAGAACUGAGUCAGUUGUAACAAGAACUGCUUUUGAAACAUUAGCAUUUUAAGGCUUGCCUUGUGGUAGACAUUAAUUCUAAGUCAUUCUGUCUCAGCUGUGUUGCUUUUUAAAAAUAUAGUUAUCUCAAAUGGAUUGCUUCUGGUUUUGAUAUUAACAAAUAUUUUUUGAGCAUUAAUUGCCUCACAAUAUUGUGAAGGGUUCCCCAAUAAAUCAGAUCCAGCCUUUGCUUCCAACAAGUUGAACAGUCUCAAUAGAGUCUCAGAUCUCACUGUAGACCAAACUUUACACACUAGGCUAAGUUGACUCAAGGAUGACUGGGUUUUGUAUCUUUCCCAUAUGUUGGUGUUCAGCACUCUGUGGGUGCUUAAUAAAUGCCCAGGAGAAGACUUUUGCAUCAGAUGCAUAUAGCAAUUCCAUGCAGCAGCCAAACCUCACACUUGGCCAUUUGAGAUUCCAGUGUAGCCUGGUUUUGCUGUUGUACAAUUCUCCUGAACAAAGGAAAUCUCUGUUUUGUUAAAGAGCAGUGGGAUUGGUAGAGAUGAACUUGGCUCCCAAGAUCCGAAAUUCAAGUGGGAAAUGUGGGAUGGUGACUGAUGGGCAAGAGGACCAAGACAUGAGCAGAAAAGUAGGCAGAAGAAGUUCAUAGGAAAGGACUGGAAUUUAGGGCUGCCAGGAAGAUGAACGAAUCACAUGUGGUAGAGACUUUAUGCUGUUGCUCAUAGCCAAGCCAUCCAUUCAUUCAUUCAUUCAUUCAUUCAUUCAUUCAUUCAUACUAUAUAUGUGGAGUUUCUACUAUUUGCCAGUUACUCUUGGAGAAACAGCAGCAAACAAGCAAAAUCCCUGAGGUCAAAAAAAGUUUUCUCACAGUGGGGAGGCGCAAAAUAAAAGUAAGUUAGAUAUUUAGUAUGAGAGAUGUUGCUAAAUUCUCUGGGAAAAAACAAAGCAAGGAGAAAGAGUAAGGAGUGCUAGCCUGGAUGAGGGGGUUUCAGGAGAAGCUGCCAAUCAAGACCUCACUUAGGAGGGGCCAUGUGAGUGAAGA